GGCAAGAUGGCCGAGUGGUUAAGGCGGAUGACUCAAGCCCCUGCUUGUCUUGUAAGCAAUUCAAGAUUUAUUCAUCUGGGGCAACCCACCGGGGUUCGACUCCCCGUCUUGUCA